rnacentral:rRNA from 1 species
AGGGGAAUAUUGCACAAUGGCGGGAACUCUGAUGCAGCAACGCCGCGUGCGGGUUGACGGCCUUCGGGUUGUAAACCGCUUUCAGCCAUGACGAAGCUUUUGUGACGGUAGUGGUAGAAGAAGCACCGGCUAACUACGUGCCAGCAGCCGCGGUGAUACGUAGGGUGCGAGCGUUGUCCGGAAUUAUUGGGCGUAAAGAGCUUGUAGGCGGUUUGUCGCGUCGAUAGUGUAAACAGGCAGCUUAACUGUGUGCCUGCUGUCGAUACGGGCUGACUAGAGGAGGGUAGGGGAGAAUGGGAUUCCCGGUAGCGCGGUGGAAUGCGCAGGUGUCGGGAGGAACACCAGUGGCGAAGGCGGUUCGCUGGACCUUUCCUGACGCAGAGAAGCGAAAGCGGGAGUAGCAAACAGG